rnacentral:lncRNA from 1 species
UGACUGAAGCUUGUACAAGCCUUCUAACAGGCUUUGAGGUAAGUAAAGAAUGUUCACAUAAUGUUACCGCAUAGACAGUAUCCCCUGAUGCUCUGUUGGGCGUUCGGGAAGAAAAGCCGAAUAGAGGAUCAAAGAAUUCGCAGGAGUCUAACAAAAGGAGUCAAUAUGUGUAUGCGGGCUUCUCUGCUAGCGUCCGCCGCACUGACUGCGGAAGCGGACGUGCUAAAGCAGAGUCUCGAGAAGUCCGAGCAAGAGCUCGGGCGUGCCAAGAAGCAACUCGAGGAGAAGGAAGGUAAGAAAUACCUUGUUUGAAUAUGUAUAUAAAAAAGGUGCAAUUGCAAAAAAUGAUAGGACUGACAUGGCUAUUGCAGGGGCCAUGUCUGAGGUGGCGACCCUUAAGCAAGCGCUGCUCGAGGCCGAGAAGAGUGCGGCCGUGGAGUGCACCGAGCGGGAGAGGUAUGAGGCUGAGGUUGUCAAGGUGUGGCAAGAGCUCCAGGUUCUCAUGAAGAAACAUGAGAGUUUGGAGCUUGACUCGAAGACGCGAGCGUCCGAGCUCGCGACAGCUAUAGAAAAUGCCAAGUCUGCCAAGGCCGAGUGCCAGAAGACCCUCCAGGAGUUGGAUGAGGUGAAGAAGAUUGCGGCGGGUAAGGCAUUCUUUAUGCAAAGCAAACACAUAAACGUGAGUUACCUGUUACUUACCCGAAUUCAGAGCUCUCCAGGAGCGUUCGCAGAUCUUCCCCGGAGUGUAUCUGAUGCCGUCGCAUUCUAUCGAGCCGAGGAGGGCAGCUCGACGGAGAAGGUGUUCUGGUCUCAGUACACUGAGGCCGGACACCCCGUGCCCCUGAGCGACCAGCUGAAGCAACUGGUCGAGCUCCACAAGGCGGCCGAACAGGCCAUGAAGGGCCUCCUAGUUUGGCUGUGGCCUAGAGAGGCUCUGCCUGGGAGCUAUUUCGGGCUGGUGCGGCGGCUGGUGGAGGCCUGUCCGAGGCUUGAAGACAUCAAGCGCUCCAUCUACAUUGAAGGUGCCCGUAGGGCCCUCGCCCGUGCUAAGGUGCACUGGGGCAAGCUGGAUGCGGAGAAGCUUGUGAAGGACGGGCCACCGCUGGGGAAGGAGCAUCGCAAGCCCGAGAAUUAUUAUAAGGAUGUUCUGAAGGGUGCCCGCCUUGUUGCGGAUGAAUGUACCAAGGAUGUAUUUUUUGAGUAAAACCCGCUCGUGUUAUCCUGUGCGCUGAAAACUCGUUCAUAUGCGCUAAGCAAUGCUGCUUGAAUUUAAAAUAUUACCUUCUGUGCGGCUGUUUAUCAAUACUGAGAGAUGGUGAGUCAUCGGCUUCUGCCCCCAUGCUGCUAGUGCUGGGGUGUUCGGGGAUAAACCUGGGCGCUCUUUUUCCCAUAUUUCGGUCCUUCGAGGGAGGCGCUCAGCCCAACGAACAAGGCAAUCGGACUAUAAUGCGUGAACACUCUCACUUAGCCAUAGAAUUCUAUAAUUUUAAAUUUCGGCGAAGCCCCUAGUAUUCGGAAGACCGAUUUCGGGGCGCUAUCCACGCCUUGGCCGGACAGAGCCGACUCCUCGCCCGAAGCGGCAUAAGUCUUUAGGGACUCGAAAAAACCACUCGAACAGCGACCAGCUCUCGCUUCAUCAUGACAGUCAGUUUUAGCUUUCUCCACUGAGGUGCUCGGCCCAGCUCAACUGGGGCAUAAUCGCAGUGGUUCUCCUAGUGCUACCUUAGCCGAUAUAGCGGAACGUAAGGCACCAAAACAUAGGAGCCGGGCAAACCCAACUAUUGACCCAAGACAUGAUUCGGAGCCGAUGCAUAUAAUGCUAUAAGUUCGAGGUGCCGCACUUGUUAAAGUGUUCGGACUUCUCACACCAUGUUGAGGGGUACUGAAGCCCCUAGCGUAUUUUGGCCGUACCAAAGUGUACGGGUGCAACAUGUCAUUAAGGAACAUAUAUAUAUAUAUAUAUAUAUAUAUAUAUUAAAAAAGGUAAUGCAAAAAAUAGACAAAAGCUAUGCAUUGUUCAUUAAAAUAGCUGUGAUCAAAGCAGACCGAUACAAGUGAUGUGAUAAACGAAAAGUUGGACUAUUUAACAUGUUUGUUUCAGGGGCAAGCUAUGGGAUAGUAUGCGAAACGGGUAUACUGCUCGUGAUAGAGACCACCUGGGAUUUCCGUAAUGCGGCAUGGCUUGUCUGCUUCCCUGGUCCUUGCAUCAUUUGUGCGGCAAUUGAACUGCCGAACAAGCCUUCCGAAGAGUAGAGUCUUGGAAGUAAGAGAAAAGUGUAAAAAAAGUCGGCAGCCCCUGGUGCGGUUUAAGCCGUGUUUUGGGCGUGCCGUGAUGGUGCCCCUCCCCCUAUGCCUAUGGUAUUUCUAGGGCGUAGUUAUGUGCGCGAAGUACUGGCGUCUCCUUUUUGCGGAGGUUGGGGUUGGGGCCGCAUUGCUACGCCUGCUCGGAACGUGCCAAACGGUCUUGUUGUAGGUUACUCCGGGCGCGCUUGGCUGUGUCCAGACGUUUAAUGGCCGGACUGGAGAACUGCCUGGAGAGGCUGCUUUGUACUUCCGCUGCAAGGGCCGCCAUGUGCUCCUCCGUUCGAAGGAUGCGUUCGGUGUUUCCAUUGACCGUAAUUACUCCUUGAGGGCCUGGCAUCUUGAGCUUAAGGUAUGCGUAGUGCGGGACCGCAUUGAACUUGGCGAAUGCGGUUCGCCCGAGCAGUGCAUGGUAGCCACUGCGGAACGGGACUAUGUCGAAGAUUAACUCCUCGCUUCGGAAAUUAUCCAGGGAUCCGAAGACCACUUCGAGUGUGACUGAGCCUGUACAGCUGGCCUCUACACCUGGUAUUACGCCUUUAAAGGUCGUUUUGGUGGGCUUAAUCCUCGAGGGAUCUAUGCCCAUUUUUCGCACUGUAUCCUGGUAAAGCAGGUUCAGGCUACUGCCGUCGUCCAUAAGGACUCUAGUAAGAUGAAAUCCGUCAAUAAUUGGGUCGAGAACCAAUGCGGCGAAUCUGCCAUGACGGAUGCUAGUGGGAUGGUCUCUUCGAUCAAAGGUGAUCGGGCAGGAGGACCAUGGGUUGAACUUUGGGGCGACUGGCUCUACCGCGUAUAUGUCCCUUAACGCGCGCUUCCGCUCCCUCUUGGGGACGUGGGUGGCGUAUAUCAUGUUCACCGUCCGCACUUGUGGGGGAAAACCCUUCUAUCCAUUGUUGUUCGGCGGCCGGGGCUCCUCGUCGUCAUCGCUAUGCAACCCCUUGUCUUCAUUGUCGGCGCUUAAUCUGCCUGCCUGCUUGAACACCCAACAGUCCCUGUUGGUGUGAUUGGUCGGCUUUUCGGGGGUGCCAUGUAUUUGGCACAAGCGGUCGAGUAUUCGGUCCAAGCUGGACGGGCCCCUGGGAUUCCUUUUGAAUGAUUUUUUCCGCUGACCGGAUUUAGAGCCUCUGAAUCCGGCAUUAACUGUUGUAUCCUUAGCAUUGUCGCUGUUGAUGCGACGCUUCUGUUGGUUGCGACACGACCUGCCACUAAUGUCCCUGGUGUCCGAACGACUAGGGUUCUUGGUCAUAUUGUUGCUUCGAGCAAGCCAGCUGUCUUCUCCCGCGCAAAAGCGGGUCAUGAGUGCCGUGAGUGCUGCCAUAGAUUUCGGCUUCUCUUGUCCUAGGUGCCGAGCAAGCCACUCGUCACGGAUAUUAUGCUUGAAGGUUGCUAAGGCCUCUGCGUCCGGACAGUCGAGUAUUUGAUUUUUCUUUGUUAGGAACCGUGUCCAGAAUUCCCUGGCCGAUUCAUCUGGCUGCUGAAUUACGUGGCUUAGGUCGUCAGCGUCUGGGGGUCGCACAUAAGUGCCCUGGAAAUUGUUGAGGAAUGCGGCUUCCAGGUCCUCCCAACAGCUGAUUGACCCUGUUGGCAGGCUAUUACGCCACUGCCGAGCUGGUCCUUUAAGCUUAAGUGGGAGGUAUUUGAUGGCGUGGAAAUCAUCGCCGCGGGCCAUGUGGAUAUGAAGGAGAUAAUCCUCGAUCCAUCCCGCAGGAUCUGUUGAGCCAUCAUAUGAUUCGAUGUUUAUGGGUUUGAAACCCUCGGGGAUUUGAUGAUCCAUUAUUUUGUUUGUGAAGCACAAUGGGUGUGCGGCGCCUCUGUAUUGGGCGAUAUCAUGAUGUAGCUCCAAUGAGCUUUCUCUACUGUGUUCGGCCCUGCCGAAUCUGGGGCCGGCAUGACGGUUGUCGUCUCGAGUCGUGGGGUGCCUACGCGAUCCGUAGAUCGAUCUUGUUUGCCUUGUCUUGUCCUCCAACAUGUCUCGUAGGUCCGGCGCAUAUUCCCGUGCCUUGGUACAGGGUGCGGCUUGGGUGGAAGGCCAUGAGGCCUCUCUGUCGCGACCACGAGGUGGCCUGUCGGCCGCGUCGAGUGCUUCCUCCUCUAAUCGGGGUAGCAACCUGCGCUUCGGGUAGCACUUGGAGGGGAGUUCGGGUUUAUGCUCUUCGGCCGCAAGGACUUCAGUCCAUCUAUCGACUAGCCGAUCUUGAUCAGCUUUAAGUUGUUGCUGUUUUUUCUUGAGGCUUCUUGCCGUGGCCAUAAGCCUGCGUUGAAAACGCUCUUGUUCGACGGGAUCCUCCGGCACGGCAAAUUCGUCGUCGUCAAGGCUUGCCUCGUCUUCGGAGGGAGGCAUACAAUUAUUGUCCUCGACCUCUCUGUCGGCCGCUCUCUCAUGAGGGCUGGUUUCUCCAUCCUCCUGUGUUAAAUCUUGCUCGGGGGGAUGUUCUUCGGCGCUUUCCGGGGUAUUAUUAUCUCCCGUGCUGGAAUCACCAUUUUUGUGUUGGCGGGAUUUUGAGCGGCGCCGCUGACGCCGGCGCUUUUGCUGUUUCUUGGAGGGGUCAUCCUCCGAUGUUCCAUCGCCCUCUCCCUCUUUUGGGGUGUCCACCAUGUAUAUGUCAUAUGAUGAGGUGGCUUUCCAGGGCCUAGUGGGCGCUAGUUCUUCAUCAUCUCCUUCAUCGGUGUCCAUACCGUCGAUGUCUUCGGAGUCGAAGUCGAGCAUGUCGGUUAAGUUGUCGACAGUGGCUACAAAGUGGGUGGUGGGUGGGUUUUGAAUUUCUUCAUCGUCCGUACCCCAACCUUGCUGACCAUAGUCCGGCCAGGGCUCUCCUGUCAAAGAGAGAGACUUCAGUGAUUUCAGGAUAUCGCCGAAAGGCGAGUGCUGAAAGACGUCCGUGGCCAUGAACUCCAUGAUCGGCGCCCAGUCGGAUUCGCUCGGCAGGGGCGCGAAGAGUUCGGAGUCCGGAGAAGAAUCCGGCUCCAUGGAGUCACGAGUCUUGCAGAGUACGGGGCUGGUGUUCGGCUCAACUGCCGUUGGGAUCGCGGCCCCCGAGGUGGCAUCCAACCGCCCAUCCUCGAUCGACGCGGUCGGCUCCGAACUAGGGGUCGGAGCCGAUGCGGGUGCAGCCUCCAGGGCUCUGUUCGGCGGCAGACCUAGAUCAUACUCGUCGUGACAGAGCGGCGUGCUCGGCAGUGGUUCGAAUCCGUUGAAGAUCAAGUCCCCACGGAUGUCGGCCGUGUAGUUUAAACUUCCGAAUCUGACCUGACGGCUAGGGGCGUAGCUUUCGAUCUACUCUAGAUGGCCAAGUGAAUCGGCCCGCAGUGCAAAGCCGCCAAAGACGAAGAUCUGUCCGAGGAGGAAGGUCUCACCCUAGACUGCAUCGCCAUUGAUGAUCGUAGGAGCCAUCGGGCCUGACGGCGAUGGCACAAAGGAACUCUCAAUGAAAGCACCAAUGUCGGUGUCAAAACCGGCGGAUCUCGGGUAGGGGGUCCCGAACUGUGCAUCUAGGCCGGAUGGUAACAGGAGGCAGGGGACACGAAGUUUUACCCAGGUUCGGGCCCUCUCGAUGGAGGUAAAACCCUACGUCCUGCUUGAUUAAUAUUGAUGGUAUGGGUAGUACAAGAGUUGAUCUACCACGAGAUCAAAGAGGCUAAACCCUAGAAGCUAGCCUAUGGUAUCAUUGUUGAUGUGUAUGUUGUCCUACGGACUAGAACCCUCCGGUUUAUAUAGACACCGGAUAGGGUUAGGGUUACAUAGAGUCAGUUACAAUGGUAGGAGAUCUGAACAUCCAUAUCGCCAAGCUUGCCUUCCACGCCAAGGAAUGUCCCUUCCGGACACGGGACGGGGUCUUCAAUCUUGUAUCUUCAUAGCCCAGGAGUCUGGCUGAAGGUAUAGUCCGGCUAUCCGAACACCCCCUAAUCCAGGACUCCCUCAGCAGGCAUGCCAAAAACGGGUCUAUGUUUAUCCUUUUCAUCAGGUUUGGCAAUUCUAGCAGCUUCAUCAUAGAAGUAAAUAACAUGCCCAUCUAUAUUUUCUACCAGGAGAUUUUUAACCAUAGCAACACUAGGUUCUACCUUGAUUUGUUCAGCUGGUUUUGGUGUUCUAAUAUAGCUUUUAUUGACCACAAUUGAAACUUUAGCAUGUGCCUUUAUCCUAACAGGAAAAGGUGGUUUUUCAAUAUAAUCAGUAGGAACAACUGGAUCAACAUUAUAAAUAAUAGUUUCAUCUUUAUCUAUUACUGGUUCUUUAAUUUCUUCUUUAAUAGGUGGGUGAUAUUUAAACCACUUCUCCUUAGGGAGAUCAACAUGGGUAGGAAAUGAUUCACAAAAGGAGGCUACUAUCUCAGAGUCAAGUCCAUAUUUAGUGCUAAACUUUUGAAAAGCAUCGGUAUUCAUAAAAGAUUUAACACAAUCAUACUUAAGCUUAAUACCUGACUCUUUACCUACGUCGAGUUCCCAAUCUUCAGAGUUGCAUUUAAUUCUUUCUAAAAGAUCCCAUCGGAAGUCAAUAGUCUUCUUCAUAAAGGAACCAGUACAAGAAAUAUCGAGCAUGGAUCGAUCAUCGUGAGAAAGCUAAGCAUAAAAAUUCUGAAUGAUAAUUUCUCUUGAGAGCUCAUGAUUGGGGCAUGAAUAUAACAUUGACUUAAGCCUCCCCCAAGAUAGAGUGAUACUUUCUCCUUCACGAGGCCAAAAAUUAUAUAUGUAAUUCCGAUCACGAUGAACUAGAUGCAUAGGAUAUUUUUUUUUGGUGAAACUCCAAUUUCAAUCGAUUCCAGUUCCAAGAUCCGAUAUCAUCGCAUAGCCUAUACCAUGUCAAUGCUUUUCCCUUCAAAGAUAAAGGGAAAACCUUCUUCUUAGCUUCAUCUCCGGGUAAACCUGCAAGCUUAAAUAAUCCGCAAAUUUCUUCCACAUAUAUCAAGUGCAUAUCAGGAUGUUCGGUUACAUCUCCUACAUAAGGAUUAGCUAGCAGUUGUUUUAUCAUACCCGAAGGAAUUUCAUAACCAAUAUUUUCAGUAGGUGCAUUAGGUUGAGGGGUGACUAAUUGUGGUUCCGGUCGAGGUGAAUAUACCCCGAACAAACUCCUCAAAGGAUGGUUUUCCAUAAUAACAAGUGACAGUAAAUUUCAGCACGUAGUGAUAAUUUUUCCUUACCAAUCUCCACUUACCAAGAGUGCUUCACUCCCCGGCAACGGUGCGAGAAAAGAGCCUUGAUGACCCACACGUAUAGGGGAUCAAUCGGAGUCCUUUUGUUAAGUAAGAGUGUCGAACCCAACGAGGAGCUGAAGGAAAUGACAAGUGGUUUUCAGCAAGGUAUUCUCUACAAGCACUGAAAUUAUAAGUAACAAGUAGUUUGAUACCACAUUUGGUGGUGCUUCUCGAGUACACGGUCUCGAGUUCCAGGUUUUUUUUAAAGGAGGAGUCCCUCGGCAUGUGCAUCAAAAUGACGCAUAAGAGUUCCGAGGUGAAAACCCUAGGUCUGACAUGAGUUGUUAUACUUGGCAAUGAUGAUGUUUUUGCAUCAUUACCUUGUUAAAGACAUUGCUCGGAUAAGUAGACUUGUUCUUUAGGUUGAAAACCUAGGAUCUGACCUUUGGUGGUUAGAUCUGGUGAUGAUGAUGCUUGAGCUUUUUUCCUCCCGAAGGCGUUAAGAACGUUUCUCUGGGUGCAUGGUUGGUGCGGUUAUGGUCAGUGACAUAGUUUAUCCGUCUCUUUAUUUUGUGAUUUUUUUUUCUUAUUUUUUUCUCUUCUAGUUAUCAAUAUCUUUGUUCUAAGAUUUCUUUCUUUUUCCUUCUGUAGUUACCGAUCUCUUUGGUUUGGGGUUUUUCUUCUUUUUCCUCUUGUAGUUACGGAUCUCUUUGUUUUGAGGUCUUCUUUCUUUUUCCUUUUGUAGUUAUCGAUCUCUAUGGUUUGGGAUUUUUCUUCUUUUUCCUUUUGUAGGCAUAACCUUGAUCUUGUAUGGCUUUGCUUUUUGUUAGUGUGUUCUUUUUUCAUGUGUGUGCUGACGUUGAUUGUGUGCAUCCUAAUUAUUCGAAGGUGGGGUGUAUGCUUAUUAUAUUUUCACUCCCUUGAUAUUCUAUUUUAAGCCAAUAAAUUAAUACUUUGUCAAAAAAGAUGAUCCAAUUUUACUAACCAGCUCCGUUAGUUUACUGUUUGUUUCUUUUCGUAAAAAGAAAGUUUACUGUUUAUUUAACCUCAUGUUAUUUUUACAGCGUUAUAAAAUUGUGUUGUUAUUUUCCGCAACGAAAAUAAACAAAGUUAGGCAAAGCUGAAGUAGUAUCAAACACGCACGGUUGAUAUCUGCAACUUAAAGCAUCUACAGCCGGGCGCCCCAAACCCGCCUCAAACGUCCGGGCGGACAGCCCGGUCACUGAUCAGUCACAAAAAAAUUUAUUCAGAAGGGCUCCUUAAACGGGCCUCAAACGCCCAAGCUGACCGGCACCACUCGUACCCAUCCUAAAUAUGUGACGCUCGGGCGCGCCUGGGCACGUCCGCCACAUCAGACCCGAUAGCCCUACCCCACCUCAAAUUGCACCAAAUCCACCAAACGCCCCCCCCCCCGNNNNNNNNNNNNNNNNNNNNNNNNNNNNNNNNNNNNNNNNNNNNNNNNNNNNNNNNNNNNNNNNNNNNNNNNNNNNNNNNNNNNNNNNNNNNNNNNNNNNNNNNNNNNNNNNNNNNNNNNNNNNNNNNNNNNNNNNNNNNNNNNNNNNNNNNNNNNNNNNNNNNNNNNNNNNNNNNNNNNNNNNNNNNNNNNNNNNNNNNNNNNNNNNNNNNNNNNNNNNNNNNNNNNNNNNNNNNNNNNNNNNNNNNNNNNNNNNNNNNNNNNNNNNNNNNNNNNNNNNNNNNNNNNNNNNNNNNNNNNNNNNNNNNNNNNNNNNNNNNNNNNNNNNNNNNNNNNNNNNNNNNNNNNNNNNNNNNNNGUCGCGCACCAAACCCUGCACCACAUCCGUCCAUCCACCAGCGAUGAAGAGGAUGAUAUUUUCAUUGAGAAUGGAAGAGCCAACGUGCCAAAGAAUAACUGGCAAGUCAUGGUAAACAAGUGGGAGAAGGCCCUCUAGUGACGCCAUGGCUACAAAAAUGUCCUCCACAUGGACGGGCAUUUUUUCGGCGAGGGAGAACAAGAGGAGAGGUUCAAGCUCAUGUUGGAUGUGUUAAAGGAGAUGAUGGAUUGGGACCGGAAGAGGGUGGAGAAGAAGCUGAAAAUUUAGAGGGAGAAGAUUGAGUUGGAGAAGCAAUAGGAGGCGAUCAAAUGGGAGCUCGAGAAGACCAAGACAUUUUGAGAGAUUGAGCUUGAGAAGGACAGGUUGCAACUCGCACGAAAAUCGGAGGAUGCAAAGAUCAUGUUGGCGGGAAAAACCCUCUUGGAUGAGCAUGCAAAGAAGUGGCUGAUGACCCACAAGUAUAGGGGAUCAAUCGUAGUCCUUUCGAUAAGUAAGAGUGUCGAACCCAACGAGGAGCAGAAGGAAAUGACAAGUGGUUUUCAGCAAGGUAUUCUCUGCAAGCACUGAAAUUAUAAGUAACGAGUAGUUUGAUAGCAAGAUAAUUUGUAAUGAGCAAGUAACGAUAGUAGUAACAAAAGUGCAGCAAGGUAGCCCAAUCCUUUUGAGGCAAAGGACAGGCCAAAACAGUCUCUUAUGAUAAGCAAAGCAUUCUUGAGGGUACACGGGAAUUUCAUCUAGUCACUUUCAUCAUGUUGGUUUGAUUUGUGUUUUCUACUUUGAUAAUUUGAUAUGUGGGUGGAUCGGUGCUUAGGUGUUGUUCUUACUUGAACUAACCUCCUACUUAUGAUUAACCCCCUCACAAGCAUCUGCAACUACGAGAAAAGUAUUAAGAAUAAAUUCUAACCAUAGCAUUAAACUUUUGGAUCCAAAUCAGUCCCUUACGGAAUAGCGCAUAAACUAGGGUUUAAGUUUCUGCCACUCUUGCAACCCAUUAUCUAAUAACUACUCCACAAUGCAUUUCCUUAGGCCCAAAUAUGGUGAAGCGUCAUGUAGUUGACGUUCACAUGACACCAUUAAGGUAAUCACAACAUACAUACCAUCAAAAUAUCGAACACAUAUAAGAUUCACAUGAUUACUUGCAACAAGAUUUCUCCCGUGAUCUCAAGAACAAAAGUAAUUACUCAGAAAUGAUAAUCCUGCUCAAGAUCAGAGGGGUAUUAAAUAGCAUAAUGGAUAUGAACAUAUAAUCUUCCACCAAAUAAACCAUAUAGUAAUCAACUACAAGAUGUAGUCAACACUACUAGUCACCCACAAGUACCAAUCUAUAGUUCCAGUACAAAGAUUGAACACAAGAGAUGAACUAGGGUUUGAGAGGAGGUGGUGUUGUUGAAGAUGUUGAUGGAGAUUACCCUCCCCAACAUGGGAGAGUUGUUGGUGAUGAUGAUGACGAUGAUUUCCCCCUCCGGGAGGGAAGUUCCCUCGGCGGAAUCGCUCCGCCAGAGGGCAAAAGUGCUCCUGCCCAAGUUCCGCCUCGAGACGGUAGCGCUUCGUCCUGAAAGUCCUCUCCUUAUUUUUCUAGGUCAAAAUGACUUAUAUACCAGCAGAGGGGCACCGUAGGUGGGCCGAGGAGGGCACAACCCACCAGGGCACGCCUGGCCUCCUAGCGCGCCCAAGUGGGUUAUGCCCACCUGGUGGCCCCCCUCUGGUACUUAUUGGCUCCAAUAUUUCUUAUAUAUUCCAUAAAAAUUCCCUGUAAAGUUUCAACUCAUUUGGAGUUGUGCAGAAUAGGUAGCUUGACGUAGCUUUUUCAGGUUCAGAAUUUCUGCUACCGGUAUUCUCCCUCGUUGUGUGUACCAUGCAUAUUAUGAGAGAAAAGGCAUUAGAAAUACUCCAAAAAGCAUUAUUAUACAUAAAAACAAUAUAAAUAGCAAUAGGUAAACAUGAUGCAAAAUGGACGUAUUAGUGGCUUGCAGAGAAGAAGGGGAUCAACGAGCUUAGGGAGGCGGCAAGGGCAGCAUCGGAGCAUGCAGCAAGGAUACAGGCGAAGCAUGUAGCUCAGAUGCAGGUGGAGCAGGAUGCAAGGAUGACCUCGGAGCAGGCGGCAUGGAUGGCGUUCAGCGAGUGAUCCGGCCAGCAAGCGAGACAUCCGUCACGAUCGGACAUUUAUUUCAUUUUGGUAUGUCCAGAUUGUUGAACUACGAUUUCCUUUGCUUUGUUUCGAACUGUUGAAUUUGAACAAUUAGUAUUGUAUGAUCAAUGUGCAUGGGUCGUAUGGAUUUGAAGCUCCACAUAUGAGGUAUGUGGAUGUGCGAUAACCCAUAUGAGGGGCCGCGGACGCGCUCGCGGGUGUAUAGGGGGGCAGAUUUGCCAAGUCCGGCUGUAGAUGCUCCUAAGGGCAUCUCCAACGCCGACCCUCAAACCGUAGGCAUAUGUUAGACCCCCUGUUCAAGAAUUCAUCCGAUUAACCAGUUAACUUGCCGAUUAAUCCCUACUCAUAGGGUCCCCGAGUAGCCGAUUACCCGAUAAAUCGUCCGAUUAAUUGAUUAAAUGGCCGAUUAACUUGCCAAUUAGCCUAUUAAUCCCCUACUCACCAGCCGACCGAGUAGCUACCAGUUAACGAUUUCCUCAACAAUGGUUAGACCGCGUCGUCCGAACCAUGGAAGUCAUCUAGCCCGAGUUUGUAUCGAUCCGCUCAGUUGUCCGGACCCAAUUUCUCCCACAAAGUGAAGACUAAGUGGGGUUGGUUUUUGUGGGAGUCCAGACAGCAGCCACGUUGGACUCAGACGCCCCAGGCCCACUAAAUCCGCCCUCCCGACCCAAUUUUCUUCCACUUUGCCACUUCUUUCCCCUGCUUUGCAUUCGCACCGUUCACCUAUGUCGCAGCCAUUGUACCUCUUCAGCCGCCACACAAGCAUUAUCAGACGUUUGUAACCAGCACCGACACGCCCGCUCGCCUUUACGGUGACGUUGUCCACUCUGGAGCCGUUUGUACCCAGGUACACUCCGUCACCUUUUCAACGACCUCCAUGGCGGCCACCCGUCCGGAAGGUGUUCGAUCAAAUGCCAUUGAGCUUAUUUUCGGACGCUAAGUCGUUUUUUCAGAAGAAGGGUGCUGGGGGUACUCAACCAUGGAGGAUGAGUUGUUAUGCGAUGCAUAGUUGGCCGUAUCUGCGGAUUUCGUAGGAAGUAGCAGAGAGGGCACCUUUCUUGCAGCAAGUGCAUGAAUCGUUUCACGAAUGAAAACACAUCGUGCCCUACGACAUGCACAUUAUCUAUGAUCGCAACGUGAGGUCAUUAUUGUAUUGAUGGCACACCAUCCAGACCGUCAUCACCAGGUUUUGUCAUGUAGUUGCUCAGUUGGAGGCAAGGUGACCAUUGCACGCGACAGAGGAGGAGAUCAUAAGCUUUGCUUCUUCUUUCUCAACUUGACGAUUGAAGCAUUCUUUCACUUGAUGUUGCUAUUCACAUUGUGUAGCCCGUGCGCACUGUCGUGAUGUAUCACAUGACAGAGAAAUGGCCAUUUACGUACACACACUAUUGGAUGAAGCUGAAGGGCAGUAUGUGUGGGAUGACAUGAUCCGUUGAAAACUUGUUGGACAUUGAAUUUGAGACAUUGUUGUACUUGCAUAUUAUGUAUGAAUGAUUUAUGUCAUUUUUCUUUCGAAUUUUCAUGAAUAUCAGCCGGUUUGCAUGAUGUCGUCUGCUAAGUCAAAACAUCCACUCCUGAAAAAAAUUGAAACAUCCACGGGCGCAUACCAGAGCAAAUUUGCUGGUAAGGGUUGAAGAUGCUCUUAUUAGAGCAUCUCUAGCAGACCUCGCAAAUCUCGCAAACCCGCAUAAGUCCGGCGAGUAUACGGGUUCCACCCAAUUUUCUGGCCAGAAUAGAGCCCGUAUACUCGUCCGACCCGUAAAUUUUUUUAUCACGGCCCGCAAAUCGCCCAGCAGAAGCACUAUAUCUACGGGUUUGCGAGGGAGGAUACGGGUCGAAACCCUAUCCCUCCGCCGCCGCGUUCCACCGCGAUUCCCCAUUGCCCCCUCGCAUUUCUCGCCGCCGGCGAGCCGCAACCGCCUCGAAACACCAUGUGGAGCUUCGGCCGCGGCUCCGGCGGUCGUUGUGACCCUGAGCGCGAGCUCGUGUCCGCUCGAACGACGCGAGGAAGCGCGGGGCCAAGAAGUGGACGAACCGGGGCCUCUCGCCGCCCUCGAGGUUCAUAUUAUGCAGUUUCAUAUAUGGUUUCUGUUCUGCCGCGCAUGUUUUCAACUGGCAAAUGAGAUCUUCAUCGACCUGUAAACGGCUUAUGCGGAUAGGGGUUGCGGGGUCUGCUAGAGAUGCUCUUAGAGCAUUACUAGUAGAACCCUCAAACCCUUAUAGCAGUUUUAAGGGUUAAGAAGUGCCAGUUUUUGACACUUUUAAGGGUUGAAAAACAGGGGCAAAGACUAGAACCCUCAAGCCCAACGCUUAAACUGCUUUAAGGGUUGGAUUUGAGGGUUCUAGUCUUUGCCUCAACCCCAACCUUUAAACUGUCAUUUCAUAUAUCACACAUUUCAUCACAUUUCAUCAUAUGACAUAUCACAAAUUCCAUCACAUUUGACAUAAAACAAUAAUCAUUCUAGUUAUUAUUACAACACCGAAUAAAACAAUAAUCAUUCAAAUUAUUACAACAAUGUUUGAGCAAAUUACACUAAUUGUUCGAAUCAAAUAGGACAUAGAAAAGUAAAACAAAGAUACAUCAUGGGCCAAUGCGCCGCCCAUCCAACUGCCAGUGGUGCUCUACUAGAUCAUCCCGGAGCCGACCAUGAGUGGUUGCAUCCUCAAUCUUACGAUGUGCUUGAAGAAAAGCGUGUAGGCGAGAAGGGUUUCUUUCCGGUUGCACACGGGUACCAACAUUGUCAUAGAAACAAGGGAGGUUUAACCCUCUCUCAUCCUCUAGGAUCAUGUUGUGUAGAAUCACACAACAUUUCAUGAUGUUCACCAAGGUUUUUUUGUCCCGAAACCGAGCUGGACCACGAACUAUGGCAAACCUUGCUUGCAAAACACCGAAAGCUCUCUCAGUAUCCUUGCGUGCUGCCUCUUGUGCCUUGGUGAAAUGAGCCUCUUUUCUUGUUAAGGGCACCCCAUUUUUCUCCUUGAUGGAUUUCACAAGAGUUGCCCAUUCGGGAUAGAUGCCAUCGGUGAGAUAGUAUCCCAUUGAGUACCCAUUGUCCAUGAUUUUGUAGUUGCAUUGUGGAGCAUCCCCAGAAAUUAAUCUUUUGAACAAAGGAGAUCUAUUGAGGAUAUUGAUAUCAUUGAGUGUUCCCGGCAACCCAAAGAAUGCAUGCCAAAUCCAUGUGUCCUGAGAUGCUACGGCCUCAAGCACAAUGGUAGCAUCACGGCUUUUACCGCAAUACAUUCCGUGCCAUGCCUUUGGGCAAUUUUUCCACCUCCAAUGCAUGCACUCGAGACUACCUAUCAUCCCCGGCCAUCCCCUUUUUUCAUUCAUUUCCAUUAAUCUCUUUGUAUCUUCCUUGUUUGGUGCCCGAUGAUACUGCUCACCGUAAAACCGGAUGAGCAACUUGGCAAACCUACGGACUGACUCCGUGGUUGUAUCUUGCCCAAUGCGAAGAUACUCGUCGGUAUAAUCCGCGGGUAUGCCAUAAGCGAGUACCCGCAUUGCCGCCGAUAUCUUUUGAUAUGCACUAAACCCCAUGAUACCGGCGGCGGAUCUACGACAUUUAAAGUAAUAGGAGGCGGCCUCAUAAUCGGUGACAAUCUUCACAAACAAACUACGCCGCAUUUGGUACCUUAUGCGGGAGAGACGAGGAGGGUAUGUAUGUACCUCCGCGAAGUAGUCUUCCAUCAAAUGCUCGUGUCCGAGAGCGCGGUUCCGGUAGAUGGUGACUCGCCCCAUCUUCGACCCUCUCCUCUGAUCCAUCAGCUUCACGCGGUUUUCAAACGAUUGCACGUCGAUGAGUAGGCUCAUCAUCUCGACACCGUCGUCUUGCAACAACUCGUUGAUGUCCGGAUCGUCGGAUGACGACCAACCCGACGAAUCGGACAACGAGUCCAUGGCGUCGUUGUUCACCUCCAUCUACACAAUACAACAAACAAUAAAUUAUGAGUGCCAACAAUGAACCAGAAAGGAAAAAAUAAAACAAUACACAAUACAACAAACAAUAAAUUGUGAGUGCCAACAAUGAAUCGGACAAUGAAUCAGAGCUCGAGGAGGCCUNNNNNNNNNNNNNNNNNNNNNNNNNNNNNNNNNNNNNNNNNNNNNNNNNNNNNNNNNNNNNNNNNNNNNNNNNNNNNNNNNNNNNNNNNNNNNNNNNNNNNNNNNNNNNNNNNNNNNNNNNNNNNNNNNNNNNNNNNNNNNNNNNNNNNNNNNNNNNNNNNNNNNNNNNNNNNNNNNNNNNNNNNNNNNNNNNNNNNNNNNNNNNNNNNNNNNNNNNNNNNNNNNNNNNNNNNNNNNNNNNNNNNNNNNNNNNNNNNNNNNNNNNNNNNNNNNNNNNNNNNNNNNNNNNNNNNNNNNNNNNNNNNNNNNNNNNNNNNNNNNNNNNNNNNNNNNNNNNNNNNNNNNNNNNNNNNNNNNNNNNNNGGCGGCGGGGAACGGCGGAUCCGGCGGCGGGGAGUGUGGCGCAGCCGGCAACGGCUGGCGUGCGUCGAGGGGAGGCGGGGGCCGGCCGGAUUGACGGCGGGCGAUGGCCGGCGGCUUGGGAGGGAGGAGGCGGGAGGUUGGGGACGGGAAAUUUCCCUCCCACGCGACGGGGAAAGGGGUGCGGGUUGGGGUCGAGUGCCCCUCUCCAACCCUCACUUCUACAGAUUGGAAUUGGGUUUGAGGGUUGGACCCUUACUCUUUUUUUAGGGUUUAAAAGUUUAGGGGUUCUAGUCUUUGUGUUUUUUUUAUUACAACCCAAAAAACACGGUUAUUUUUUAGGAUUUGAAGGUUUAGGGGUACUACUAGUAAUGCUCUUAGACCAGUACGAAAACGCGAUUUGACCAUGCCACCGCGCAACCGCAGCAUCCCUUCCACAGCCGUGCAGCGACAGCGACGCCACACCAAAACCAGCACGGGGAACACAGAGCGGUUGAGCCUUCCACAUCUCCUCACCCCACCCCACCAUCACCACCCUCCGCUGCAAGCAAGUGGAGGGAACUCAGCAGCAGCAGCAGCCUGCAGACGCAUGUGAAAAGCCACCGUGGUCCUCGUGGAACUCCAUCCAUCCAUCUAUCCGCGCCGGGAAGGGACGAGGUCCCGCCAUUAAAAAACAGCGCGGGACCGCGCUCCCGCGACCUCGAGGAUCUCGAAUCCCGGGAGAACCAUCCCUGCGCCGAGCUCUGAUCCGGCAACAAGUGGCCGGCUUGAUUCGAUUCGACUGGCUGCUUGUUUUACCCGCCACCACCACCUCUGCCGCUCCUCGGUUGUUUUCUUGACGCUGCCGACGGACCGUCCGUCCGUCCACCCCCACCUCGGGGCUUACCGUCCCCCCGCUGUCGCGUUUAGAUUAAUCAAUGCGGGCGGGNNNNNNNNNNNNNNNNNNNNNNNNNNNNNNNNNNNNNNNNNNNNNNNNNNNNNNNNNNNNNNNNNNNNNNNNNNNNNNNNNNNNNNNNNNNNNNNNNNNNNNNNNNNNNNNNNNNNNNNNNNNNNNNNNNNNNNNNNNNNNNNNNNNNNNNNNNNNNNNNNNNNNNNNNNNNNNNNNNNNNNNNNNNNNNNNNNNNNNNNNNNNNNNNNNNNNNNNNNNNNNNNNNNNNNNNNNNNNNNNNNNNNNAGGGCAACCCGCCAAGAACGAGGGCUCCUUCCUGCUCCCUCCUGCGUGCACUGUGGGAGAAGGUGAGGGACUGAGGAGAGGAGGAGACGGUGCUGUCAGUGGCGACGAGCGUCUGCAGCGGCGGCGGCGGCCAUGAGCUGGAGGAAAGCCGGAGGGGAUGGAGGCGUGUCCAAGCGGUGGGCCGUGCUCCUCUGCCUCGGGAGCUUCUGCCUCGGCCUGCUCUUCACCAACAGGUAAACCAGCACCCCCAAUUCCCCCUCCCGCUUCUUCAAUUUCUCUUCCAGAUUCCCAGCUCAGCUCAGCACGCGGAGCUCAGCUCAGCUCCGAGACUAGCUCGAGUUCAGCUGGAUCCGCGACGUCUCGCCAGCCUCUGCACCUCGAAUUUGUGAGAUUAGAGAUCGGAUGGCUGGCAGAUAGGGGGUGUCAAGGCUCGAUUUGGGGGUUUCUCGAUUCUGUCGGCAGCGUCUUCAUUCUGCCCCGCCAUCGAAUAAUCCAUGUGUUUUGGCUACUCUGGUCACGCAAAGUCUGAUUCUGAUGCUGCCGAAUUGCGGGUGCGUUAAGUAAGGCUCCAUGAAUUUAGAAAUUCGGUGGGUUUGCUGCCACAUCGGGCAAUUUUCCCUUACCACAAUCGGGGCCGAGUGCGGAUGAUCCUGCGCAGAAUCUCGAUAUAAUUGUAGAGACGAGUUAUUAUUGCUAGGUGAUGUAUCCUCCAACAUUGAAUAACUGUACUCCUACCCAGAACUGUAAAAUGUGAUCACAUCUUAAUCUUAUGAACGUCUACCUCUGUUCGGUCUCUUGAUGAAUUGGACUAGUCUUUUCCGUUGCGAUGCUAUUCGACCGCAAAGUUUAGGAAAUGAUUCUUGUGCAUUCGGAUUGCUUGAUCCAGAAUGUGGACACUGCCUGAGGCAACUGAGGUUCCAUUACCGAAUCAAAGCGUUGAGGAAGGCAAAGCUCUAGUUGCUGCAGAUUGUGGUUCAAAAAAGGUACUGGUGGUGUACUUCUCCCUCCAUUAAUCUCUGUCAAGUAUUCCAUAAUUGCACAUUGAUAUUCAUAUUGUACAGCAGCUGCACAAGUCAGUGUUAUAAAAGCAGAUUGCUGCUGUGUGAUGUGUAUUGUAAAUUUGUUAUAUUGUACCACCUGCGGUAAUUGCUGAUACAUAGUUUGAUUAUCAUGUGCUGCUAGGUUCAAGAACUGCAAAAAUACAAAGAUGUGUUACCAGACCAAGAUACUCAUCAUGAUGUACAGUACGUACCAAGUUUGUCAUUCUUGAGCACAUAUUUGUUCCUUUAUUGAAAGUAUCUUUUUACGAAAAAAAUGGUUCUGACUGACUGGCAUUUCCAAAUGUUUUGGUUGUAGGACACUAGAUAAGACAAUAGCGACCUUAGAGACAGAACUCUCGGCUGCUAGAACCCUGCAAGAGUCAUUGCUCAACGGUUCCCCUGUUUCAGAAGACUUCAAAGUUUCUGAGUCGAUUGGGAGGAGAAAGUACCGUAUGGUGAUUGGCAUCAAUACCGCUUUUAGCAGUCGCAAGAGAAGAGAUUCCAUACGUUACACCUGGAUGCCUCGAGGUUGCUGACGACAUUCAACUUUAUAGCUAACUUGCUUCGGAACAUUUCUUACCCUGCGAACUUUGAAAUAACUAAUAACAAAGUCUGAAAAUAGGUGAGAAAAGGAAACAACUUGAAGAACAGAAGGGGGUCAUAAUUCGGUUUGUCAUCGGUCACAGGUAUGGUGCAUAAAGAUUUUUAUGUGCAUUUAACUAUCAAGGCAUGAUAUUUGAAUAGUGAGAAGUUCUAGAUUAUUUAUUUAUUCAUGGUAAUAACGUGUCAUAAAUUGUACACAGUAACUCUUUUGUCACAACUUUUUUGCCAACGCAGUUGUAUAUCUUUUGUCAUUUUUUUUUGCGAAAUGCAACUGCAUGAUACUCCCUCCGUUCCAUAAUGUAGUGCGUAUAGAUUUUUUAGGAAGUCAAACUUCAUCUAUUUUGACCAAGUAUAUAGAGAAAAGUAUCUACAUAUAUAUUAUCAAAUUCAUACCACUGCAUACAACACAAGACAGACUUUCAUAUUAUAUUAAAUUUGUAUUAUUAUUGUUUAUAUUUUCUAUCUAAAUAAACUUGGUCAAACUUUGUGAUGUUUGACUUUGAGAAAAAACUACGCGCGCUACAUUGUGAAGGGAGUAUGAUUUAGGAGUGGUUUCAUCCAACUUUUGAGUUUAGUAAUAUCCGCAUACUGAUCUUGAGGCUUGAGGGGUCCUUUUAUUUGUUCUUUUCUGCAAGAGAAGGCUGUAGAAUAAUGGUUGUUAAGUACUGUAGUCUCAGUUUUCCACUUUAAAAGUGGCUUCAGAGUUUGGACAAGGUAUUUAUCGACGGAGAGGAUAUUGUUAAAAUAAUUUUUAUGCAAUAUAUAAAGGUUAAGUCAUGCAUAGCUUAUAGUAGUAGACGAGAAUGAAUGUACGUUUAUGGCAAGACAUGCAUAACCUCAUUCUCCACAUGAUGUGCAGUGCUAUAGCAGGCGGAAUUAUUGAUAGAGCAAUUGAAGCAGAGGACAGGAAACAUGGGGAUUUCAUGAAGAUAGUAAGUUGUUUGUUACUUAAAAGGAUAUUGGUUUCACAUGGGAGUGACGCUGUUAUUGUUGCCCUCAUUUGGACUGAAAUGCUAUUUUGUCCUCCCUGUUUACUGUGGUUACAACUUUGUGCAGGAUCAUGUCGAAGGAUACCUUGCCCUAUCUGGCAAAACUAAGACAUACUUUGCUACAGCUGUUUCAUUAUGGGAUGCAGAUUUUUAUGUGAAAGUUGAUGACGACGUGCAUGUGAACAUAGGUAAAAUCUCUAUAUUUAUGCCCUUUACAGCUCCAAGGUUAGGGGCUAAAUGAGUGUGUGCGUCCAUCUGUCAUUUCUGUACUCAAAGCUCUUAUUAAUUUCUUGAUGAUUAUCAAUGAUGUACCCUUUGUAUGUGUAGUUAACCACCCUAACUAGGAUAAUAUGCGGCUAUUUUUGCAUUCCUGUGCGUGAAAAAGGCCUUGACAUCCGAUCUUUCAUUUCCAGCAACGCUUGGACAGAUAUUGUCCAAACAGGCAUGGAAGCCAAGAGUAUAUAUGGGCUGCAUGAAAUCUGGCCCUGUCCUAUCUGAAAAGUAAGUAGUACAUUAUAGUCCAUACAUUAUAUGGAUCUCUCCUUCUCUUAGAGUUCAAAGGUGUUAAGAUCUGUUGUCUUUUUUUUUCUCCAGGGGUGUGAGAUACUAUGAGCCUGAGCAUUGGAAGUUCGGCGAACCAGGAAAUAAGUAUUUCCGACAUGCUACCGGUCAAUUAUACGCCAUUUCAAAAGAUCUAGCAACCUACAUAUCAAUAAACAAGUGAGAAAUCAUAAGUUCUCAUGUAAUCUCGCACUUCCAUCUUUUAUGGUUCUGGUGAAAGCUAAUUUUCUUGCUGCAAAUUUCCAUUUAACGCCAGGCACGUCCUACACAAGUAUAUAAACGAGGACGUUUCGCUAGGAUCUUGGUUCCUCGGGUUAGAUGUCGAGCACAUCGAUGACCGGAGACUCUGUUGCGGUACUCCACCUGGUGAGCUUCCAUUACUCCCAUGUCUUAUAACUCCUUAAUUUCCGUGACAAUAGCACGUCGAUGAGGACAUUCAAUCACAUCCUGAACUCGACUCUGCUCACAGACUGCGAAUGGAAAGCUCAGGCAGGGAACACCUGCGCGGCGUCAUUCGACUGGAAGUGCAGCGGCAUAUGCAACUCGGAAGGCAGGAUCUGGGAGGUGCACAAUAAGUGCGCCGAGGGCGAUAAGGCGCUGUGGAAUUCCACUUUCUAGCGUGGUCGGAACCCUGACUGAACCAGAAGAAGCUCUCCUCUCCUUCAUGUUUGUUAGUUGUUGUAUACUAGAUCGCCCCACGGUGCUGUGUAUGUAAUUCAUCCUGUAGGUAUAGCUGUGGUUUUGACUGUGGGACUGGCUGACACCGACGAAGCGGACCACAAUUUUACGUAGCGUCUGUCCGCCGGUGGCGCCGGAGGCGAAGGUGAAGGCGAAGCAGGGUAUACGAGCUGUCGCCGCAUUCUUUUGGUGGAUAAAAUGUUGCAGGUGGCCAUUCUGUACCGAUCUCCUGUGCUGUUUGGCUACCACAGAUGUAUGACCGAAAUAAAACGUCCCUGAAUCCUGCAUUUCAGUGCAUUCUGGACUAGUAUUGUGUUUGUAACAG